CUGGAUUGGUUGUUCCGAAUAAAACAUCCGCAAUUGCAGUUCCUCCAGCUUGGCCUGGAUAACCAGCCCAUAUAAUGGCACUAACUCGAGGAUCAUUCUUAGCGAAUGAGACAUCGAUAGGACCACCUGACAUCAAGACCAGCACGGUUGGACCUCUAGAAGCUCGAGCCACUCGGGAAACAAGCUCUUGCUGGCGUCCAGGCAAGAGCAGCCCUACCCUGUCCCUGAAUUCUGCUUCUAUAGAUUGGUCAAGCCCCAUUACGAGUACGGUUGCAUCUGCCUCGUGGGCUGCAACCUCCGCCGCUCCAAACAGAUUGUUUGUGCCGCAAGCAACAUCUGAACACCCUGCCUGAUGAAUGGUCCUUGCAUAUCUUGAAAUACCUUGCAAUGGACUCGU
rnacentral:lncRNA from 1 species